CACGUAGGGUGCGAGCGUUGUCCGGAAUUAUUGGGCGUAAAGAGCUCGUAGGCGGUGUGUCGCGUCGGCCGUGAAAACCUGUAGCUUAACUGUGGGCUUGCGGUCGAUACGGGGCAUCACUGGAGUUCGGCAGGGGAGACUGGAAUUCCUGGUGUAGCGGUGAAAUGCGCAGAUAUCGGAAGGAACAUCAGUGGCGAAAGCGACUUCCUGGACCAGUACCGACGUUCAGGCACGAAAGCGUGGGGAGCAAACGGG
rnacentral:rRNA from 1 species